rnacentral:sRNA from 1 species
AAGUCGUAACAAGGUCUCCGUUGGUGAACCAGCGGAGGGAUCAUUACCGAGUUCUUACAGAACCCAACCCUUGUGUGAUAAGCUCUCACCCAGCUUUUACACGGGAGUCUCGGCCUAAUCGCCGAGGCAGUGUAAAAAACAAAACCUCUGUAUCAUUAUCACAAAUUUCUGAAGACUUUUUAAAAGAGUCAAAACUUUCAACAACGGAUCUCUUGGUUCUGGCAUCGAUGAAGAACGCAGCGAAAUGCGAUACGUAAUGUGAAUUGCAGAAUUCAGUGAAUCAUCGAAUCUUUGAACGCACAUUGCGCCCGCCAGUAUUCUGGCGGGCAUGCCUGUCCGAGCGUCAUUUCAACCCAUCAAGCCUAGCGCUUGUGUUGGAGCCCUGCGGCCGCCGCAGCCUCCUAAAAUCAGUGGCGGGCUCGCUAUCACGCUGAGUGCAGUAGUAUUCUUCUCACUCCUGUUGUGUAGCGGGUAACCAGCCGUAAAAACCCCCAUAUUCAAAGGUUGACCUCGGAUCAGGUAGGAAUACCCGCUGAACUUAAGCAUAUCAAUAAGCGGAGGAAAAGAAACCAACAGGGAUUGCCCUAGUAACGGCGAGUGAAGCGGCAACAGCUCAAAUUUGAAAUCUGGCAACAGCCCGAGUUGUAAUUUGCAGAGGAAGCUUCUGGUGAUGCACUGUCUAAGUCCCCUGGAACGGGGCGCCACAGCGGGUGAGAGCCCCAUGUGAUGGCUGCUGACCCAGUGUGAAGCUCCUUCGAC